rnacentral:lncRNA from 1 species
AUAGGGAAGAAUAUCGAGGCCUAUGUUGACGACAUGGUUGUAAAGAGUAAGAAGGUAGAGCAACACAUAUCCGACCUAGAGGAGGUGUUCGCCACCCUACGAAAAUAUCGGAUGAAGCUCAACCCAAGAAAAUGUGUAAUCGGUGUAGCUUCGGGAAAAUUUUUAGGCUUCAUGAUCACUCAUCGGGGGAUAGAAGCUAACCCCGAUAAGAUCCAAGCCUUGGCAACAAUGAAAUCGCCUAGAACCAAGAAAGAAGUGCAAAAAUUGAUAGAGAGG